rnacentral:rRNA from 1 species
GAUGAACGUUAGCUACAGGCUUAACACAUGCAAGUCGAGGGGAAACGGCAUCGAAAGCUUGCUUUUGAUGGGCGUCGACCGGCGCACGGGUGAGUAACGCGUAUCCAACCUGCCCAUCACUUGGGAAUAACCUUGCGAAAGUAAGACUAAUGCCCAAUGACAUCCCACGAAGGCAUCCGAAUGGGAUUAAAGAUUUAUCGGUGAUGGAUGGGGAUGCGUCUGAUUAGCUUGUUGGCGGGGUGACGGCCCACCAAGGCAACGAUCAGUAGGGGUUCUGAGAGGAAGGUCCCCCACAUUGGAACUGAGACACGGUCCAAACUCCUACGGGAGGCAGCAGUGAGGAAUAUUGGUCAAUGGGCGAGAGCCUGAACCAGCCAAGUAGCGUGCAGGAUGACGGCCCUAUGGGUUGUAAACUGCUUUUAUAAGGGAAUAAAGUGGGUCACGUGUGACUUUUUGCAUGUACCUUAUGAAUAAGGACCGGCUAAUUCCGUG